UUAUUAUAGUAUAAUGAUUAAUGCGAGCGUAUUCGUAAUCGGUCCCGUUUUUGCGAGCAGGUUGUGUAAGCUAAUGAAUGGCGACGCGAGAGAAGUAGGAGACCUGGGAAGCAUCGGACGAUAGCGGAAAGGUGGAUAGGUUGUACGAGCCAGUUAACAGGGUGACGAGAAAAGAGAAGGCUUGAGAAGCAUCGGACGACAGCGUAAAGGUUGUGCGAGUUAGAAUGGCAAUGGAAAGACGAAAGAGGAGGAGGAAGCCUGGAAAAUAUCAGGCGAUAGCGAAG